AAAAAAAUAGAGCAGGUGAGAAAGUUACAUUUUUUACUGUAGAGCCAAGUUCCUAGUACAUAUAAAAACCACAUCAAACACUCAGCACUUUAUAAGAAAAUCACCCAGUAUGGUGUGGAAACCACAGAGGUCAGCUGAUAAACGCUGCAUGCAAACCACUGCAACUUCCUCAGGUUAGAUGAUGAGGUUCCCAUGGCUUCACUGUAACAGUCCAGGGGGUUGGCUGGGCAAUCAGUCUGGCAUAAAAUGUGCCAAGCAUGCAGUGUAGUUUCUAAGGUACACUGUGAUUCUUAUUAAAUUGCUCAUUCCAGAAACCAACAUUUAGAAGCCAGCAAUAAAUGUUCGUGUGUGUGUGUGUGUGUGUGUGUGUGUGUGUGUGUGUGUGACACUCACAUGCAUGAUGCAUGAUGUAUACCCUAGCUGGAUAUAAGCAUUGUAAUUUAUUAAGGACUGACUGGCAAAGCCCCAGGGUGGAAGUCUUUCAUGUCUUGCCAGUAACCACUGGUACCUCGCGUGCACUGUAGGUGAUCUCAACCUCACGCUCCCUGGAUGUGGGCUGAGAUAGCUGUCAAGGUGAUGAAGUCUGCAGACAGCUAAACCCCUUGGAAGCCCAAAGACUCCUGAGCAGCACCGUUUUCUGCCAGGACUGACACCUGCUGCUGCCUUCAGGCUAAGGGCAACCCUGGAGACUUAUACUCCAGCCUGGCCUCAGACUCACUAUGGAGAAGAUGACCCUUGAUUUCUGAUGCUCUUGUUUCCAGCUCUUGAGUGCUAAGAUUACAGUCCUGGUUCUUGUGGACCUGGGGCCUGAACUGAGGGCUUUAUGCACGGUUUGUAUGCACUCUAGCAACUAAGCUACAUUCCCAGACCACUUGUUCCUGAAAUUUAAACAGUGGGAACUGGAAAAAAAAAAAAAAGACAAGUAUGCCCUGUUAUGUUUCUAUAUAUGGCAGCCUCUGUAAACCUCAGAAUCAGCCUCAGCUUUGUGAGACACCUUGCACACUGCUUUGUCUAUAUUCCAUCCACACCUCUAAAAUCUUGCAAAGUAUGAAAUGAGUCUGCUGAUUUAAAUCCAACAUUUUCUCAUCUACUCUUUGCCACCGAGCUAUCAGUAUUUUAUCAGAAGCCUUAGGAUUAAACAUGCAUAUGUGUUAGCGUGUCUUCCAGCAUCCAAACUAGAAAACUUUACCUUUUAAAAUCGUAUCAUCUGGGGCUGGAAAGAUGGCUCACCAGUUAAGAACAUUCAUUGUUCUUCUAGAGGACCCAGGUUUCAUUUCCAGCACCCAUGUGAGGUAUCUCACAACCACCCAUAACUCCGGGUCCAGAGAACUCUUGCACACGGGUGUCUGCCUGCCAGCCUGUGCUGCACGCACAUACACUCGGGCACAUACACAUACACACAAAAUAAUAAAUGGAUAAAUCUCUAAAAUUAUAUCAUAUAAAUCAUGGGGUUCUUCUUCACAAAUGUGUAGUAUGCCUGGACAUUAUAAACCAGAGUCAACUAAUGUACAAAGCAUUGGCAAAAAUGCUUAUAUUACAUGAGUGGGUAGAAAAACUGAGAAACCCGUUCUGAGUUCUGGGACAACCCCAUCUACUAUAGUUUUUAAUCCAUGCAAUUCCCCUAAAUUAAGACUUACUUUUAAUCUCGAUUCAUCGAAGCAACUAAGGAGGUCAACCUGCAACAUAACCUAGGUGAAUUUGGAUUUCAUGGGUUUUUUUUAUGGCUGUUUUUAACCAGGCAACCAAAUGCUAGCAACUCUCAUUCCAAGUAUGAAUAUUUCAUCGCAGUGACAGAAACACUAGGCCACCUUGCAUAUAGAACCAAAUUAAUGGUUUAUUUUAGCUCCAUGUUUACUAGAAGUCUUUUACAUUGUCACAUUUCUUAUGCAACUAUGCAGCGAUAGCAAAAAGUUAGUAAUCUUCUCGGUG
rnacentral:lncRNA from 1 species